rnacentral:rRNA from 1 species
AACGAACGCUGGCGGCAUGCCUAACACAUGCAAGUCGAACGAACUCUUCGGAUUUAGUGGCGGACGGGGGAGUAACACGUGGGAACGUUCCUUUUGGUUCGGAAUAACUCAGGGAAACUUGUGCUAAUACCGAAUGUGCCCUUCGGGGGAAAGAUUUAUCGCCAUUAGAGCGGCCCUCGUCUGAUUAGCUAGUUGGUGAGGUAACGGCUCACCAAGGCGACGAUCAGUAGCUGGUCUGAGAGGAUGACCAGCCACACUGGGACUGAGACACGGCCCAGACUCCUACGGGAGGCAGCAGUGGGGAAUCGUGCGAAAUGGGCGAAAGCCUGACGCAGCCAUGCCGCGUGAAUGAUGAAGGUCUUAGGAUUGUAAAAUUCUUUCACCGGGGACGAUAAUGACGGUACCCGGAGAAGAAGCCCCGGCUAACUUCGUG